UACAGAGGGUGCGAGCGUUGUCCGGAAUCACUGGGCGUAAAGGGCGCGUAGGCGGUUGCCUAAGCGUGUGGUGAAAGCCCGGGGCUCAACCCCGGGUCGGCCAUGCGAACUGGGCGACUGGAGCCGAUCAGAGGCAGGCGGAAUUCCGGGUGUAGCGGUGGAAUGCGUAGAGAUCCGGAAGAACACCGGUGGCGAAGGCGGCCUGCUGGGAUCGAGCUGACGCUGAGGCGCGACAGCGUGGGGAGCAAACAGG
rnacentral:rRNA from 1 species